rnacentral:lncRNA from 1 species
GGGUAUGAACAGGGUACGGGACAGCUAAGCAGAGGGCCUGAGAAAUGCUUCUUGGAGAUCAUAUUUAACCUGGGGCCUGAGAGAUGGGCACGAACACACCAAAAGAAGAAGGGAGGAAGGCACAUUCCAAGUAGAGGAGAAUGCUGGGUAAAGGAAGCAAGGAAGGAGAUGUGAAGAAAUGCCUUGCGCUAAGAAUAUUGGAUGAAGCAAAGAAGUUCAACCAUUCUCCUUGACCUGCAGGAUGUUACAGUAACCGAACUUGCUUGGUGGGAGGGAUUUUGCCUCAUAGGUCGUUAUGCUUGCACCCAAUUCAAUUGAGAUGGCUGAAGAACCUUACCUGUGCCACUCAUGGAGCACCCAUCCUACAGAAGUUCUGACAGUGUAUGACACAAACUCGGUGCUUCACAACCUCUAGGUAGAGAGAUUCUCUGUAUCCCUGAUGGAAAUGCUAUGGAGUCCAUUCUACUUCCUGGUUCCUUUCAGGCCAAGUGCCAUCUGUAGGGCAGCUGGGCUUUGGACAAUACCCCCUAAGUGCAUGGGCCAGAACUGGUGACAUGACCACAACCUAACUUCAGGAGAGACUGGGAAACAUAGCAAAACAUCUGGAAUAUUUGGUGAAGAGAAGCCAUCCCUGCUGUCUUGAGAUUUCUGGCAGCUUGGUAAGGACCGUGAGCAUCUCUCCUUUGAUGACAGCCUGCCACCUGGCAUCGACAGUGGAUGAACCCACAUUCUACGUGUCAUUCAGUUCUACGCGGCGUCUACAGUCCUUUAUGUUCUAUGGACGGAUGGAAACAUUUCCUAAAUUCCUCUUCUGGAGGAUCAUUAUUUAGCAAG